GUGACAACGCUGGAUCGGAUCCUGAACCACUUGGCCACCAGGGAAUACCUGCUUUGUGUUUUAUAUGCUAUUACAGAAAGUACACAGAUUUGCAAAAAAAUCAGAAUUUCAAUUCCAAUAAGAAGUCCUUAUUUUAAUCAAUCAAAGGCACAGACAGUGACCAAGCAAACCAAUACUCGAGGAUUAUGACUCUGAAAGGAAUUGGGGGAUCCAAACCUAACGGGGGUCCAGCUGGAGAAGGAAGUGGGAUGGAAUCCAGGUCUCCUCACACACAAGGGUUCAUUUGGCCCAAGGUCUUUUUAUUGAGUUCGAUAAUUUCAGUUCCGUAAUUCUUCACAUAACAACUACAUUAGAAGAAAUUAACUUACUGGACUGUUGGAUUAAUUUGUAGUGGUUGGACUGUUUAAGAUUAUAUGUAACUUGCUUUUCUCUUUUCUUGUUUUGGUACU